CCAAUAGCGUAUAUUAAAGUUGUUGCAGUUAAAAAGCUCGUAGUUGAACUUCGGGGUUCACCCAUUGGUCAGGCUUAAUUGUCUGCACUGGUGAGAUGAAUCUCUACCUUCUGAGGAACUUUCAUGCCAUUUAUUUGGUGUGAUGGGAAAUCAGGACUGUUACUUUGAAAAAAUUAGAGUGUUUAAAGCAGGCUAACGUCUGAAUACAUUAGCAUGGAAUAAUGAAAUAGGACGGACUGAUUCUAUUUCGUUGGUUCCUAGGGUCACCGUAAUGAUUAAUAGGGAUAGUUGGGGGCAUUAGUAUUCAAUUGUCAGAGGUGAAAUUCUUGGAUUUAUUGAAGACUAACUACUGCGAAAGCAUUUGCCAAGGAUGUUUUCAUUAAUCAAGAACGAAAGUUAGGGGAUCGAAGACGAUCAGAUACCGUCGUAGUCUUAACCAUAAACUAUGCCGACUAGGGAUCGGACGAAGUUAAUUUUAUAAUGACGCGUUCGGCACCUUACG
rnacentral:rRNA from 1 species